CAUCUACAAGGGGCGACAUUUACUGCUCGCAGCAGCGGAUCUGAUUAACACGAGUUGUGUGGAAUCAGAGGUGCAUGCGGCUGCCCACGGGAAAAAUUUGACAUCAGCCCAACACAGUUUGGAUAAUCAUAGGACUGUCAGAGGUUUACCAAACCUGUCAUGUGCAUGAUGGCUCCUGUUUGGACUUAACGAUGUCCUCGACUUCCAUCAAAACUGUAUACAUUAUUUGAGAUAUAUCAGAGACUCUUUGUGGGACUGGACCUUAUGCAUCCUAAAUCUUCAUCAAAGUAUGCAGAUCUCCUUACUGAGUUGUCUUAGAUGAUUUCUCAAUAGGAUCUGGCAUUAUUAAUGUUUUUAUUUAUGUAUUGUGUAUGUGCAGCCACAUUAAUGGCCUGUUUUGUAGUCACUUUUAGGGACAUUGGUUGACAUUGAAUAAAUGCUAUGGUCUUUAA